rnacentral:rRNA from 1 species
UACGUAGGGGGCAAGCGUUGUCCGGAUUUAUUGGGCGUAAAGAGCGUGUAGGCGGCUUUACAGGUCCGUUGUGAAAACUCGAGGCUCAACCUCGAGACGCCGGUGGAAACCGUAAAGCUAGAGUCCGGAAGAGGAGAGUGGAAUUCCUGGUGUAGCGGUGAAAUGCGCAGAUAUCAGGAGGAACACCCGUGGCGAAGGCGACUUCCUGGACCAAUACUGACGCUCAGGUGCGAAAGCGUGGGGAGCAAACAGG